UUUGGCAUUGGGCUUAUAGUUUAUGAAUUAACUGUAAAAAACAAAAAUUAAGUUAGUGCGCUAACAGCAAUUUUUCCGUUAUUUUGAAAACGGCUUGUUUAGGGUCAAAACAAAUCACUGAUUCGAAAUCAGCGUUUAAUUUUGAUUAUGGCCUGUGAUUUUCAGCCAAUUCCAAGAGAUGUCGCUUUUUAUGGCAAUCCGUUUUACCCCCAAAAAAAAAAAAAUUUUGGCCUUUUUUUUCUUUUUUACAGCUAUGGCCAUCUAGCGGCCAGAUUCCUAUUUAAUUUUCCCAUUCAUUCCUUCAGACAUGGAUUGGAUAUGGUUACUUGAACAAUGGAUUUGCAAAUGCAGUACAGCUGACUUAUGUUUCACAUGGUCAGUUGGAGAUUUCCCAGGCAAAAUUUCUAGUAACUCAGCAUUUGAUUGUCACAUCAGUGAGCAAGGUUCAGUUUAGGGAUUGAGAGCCCUCAGCAACUUAUAACACCUAGCCCAUAUUCAAAUUGUAGCACUUGAUUGCUGCCACUGAUUCUUCAAAAUGCCUAUCUUGUAUGGAAUGCUUGACAGCCAAAUGGAAUGAUUUAAACAAAUGCCAAAGGUGAGACUUGCUGGAAAAGCUUGAUAUGAAUGUGUAGACGUAGUUUUGGAAUUCAGAGGUGCAGCCAGCUGUUGGGAUUGUGCCAUCCAGGCAAUGUGGAUAUUCUGCCAUGUACAUGAUAAACCAAGGAUUCUUCGUCAACAUGCAAGAUGUUACUCCCUGUAAACUACUGUUGGCAGAAUAGCUGAUACAUUGGGAAAACGGUUAUGGCAAGUGCGAUGAAUAAAUCACCAUAGGUCAGUUGUCUUGCCUUCACAAUUGCAAUGAAGAUGAAUCAUGGAGUCAAAAACAUUAAAAGGUGGUACUAUUUUAUAUUUUUAAAUUGUUUUAAUUGGUGUAUCGCUAAGUGCUGAUACAUGUGUAGAACAUGCUGGAAUUCAUGUCAUCCUGGAGAGGACUAAAAAAAAACGAGCUUUAUCCACGAAACAGCUCAUUAAUCAUGUCCCAAACGAUUGUCUGCGUCAGCCAGCAAUCUUUCAAUGGCUAACAAGCAUUUAAUAGUUUUGAAAAUCGCGGUUUGCACUCCCUAAGGCGACAUUCCUUAAUCCCACCUGUCAAAAGAUUUGAAUGCAACCAUUUUCUAUUCUGAACUGUCGCCUACGAAAUUCUUUUUCCAUAAAAUGAGGUGAUAUGAGGUUAUAAUGGAAAUUGUCGUCAAGACUGCCGAGACCAUGUACCUUCUUUACAUUCACGUUUAGUGAUCAAAACAACCAACUAUGUAACCUUUCUUCUUUUUUUUUUUUAAGGUACAUAGAACGUCCAAUCGGAAAGCCCAUGGAAGGUCUCUGUGGCCAACACGAAAGGUUCUCCCAAACUUUCGUAUUCAAGUUUUGCUUGGUGAUCAUUUGCAACUGCAUAGCCUUUUAGAAGCUCCUGCCAGGAAUCUACAGGAAUAUGGGAGAUGAUGAAUUUAUGUACCAUGUAAGCGAUAUCAAUAAGAACGUCUUAUGCUUAUCUA